GAUGAACGCUGGCGGUAUGCUUAACACAUGCAAGUCGAACGGACUCUUCGGAGUUAGUGGCGGACGGGUGAGUAACGCGUGAGAACAUGCCUUUAGAUUGGGGACAACAGUUGGAAACGACUGCUAAUACCGAAUGUGCCGAAAGGUGAAAGAUUUAUUGUCUAAAGAUUGGCUCGCGUCAGAUUAGGUAGUUGGAGUGGUAACGGCACACCAAGCCUACGAUCUGUACUUGGUCUGAGAGGAUGACCAGGCACACUGGAACUGAGACACGGUCCAGACUCCUACGGGAGGCAGCAGUGGGGAAUUUUCCGC
rnacentral:rRNA from 1 species